UACGUAGGGGGGCAAGCGUUGUCCGGAUUUAUUGGGCGUAAAGAGCGUGUAGGCGGCCAAGCAGGUCCGCUGUGAAAACUCGAGGCUCAACCUCGAGACGUCGGCGGAAACCAUCUGGCUAGAGUCCGGAAGAGGAGAGUGGAAUUCCUGGUGUAGCGGUGAAAUGCGCAGAUAUCAGGAAGAACACCCGUGGCGAAGGCGGCUCUCUGGGACGGUACUGACGCUGAGACGCGAAAGCGUGGGGAGCGAACAGG
rnacentral:rRNA from 1 species